GCCUAAAGCGUCCGUAGCCGGCUCUGUAAGUUUUCGGUUAAAUCCAUAUGCUCAACAUAUGGGCCGCCGGGAAUACUGCAUAGCUAGGGAGUGGGAGAGGUAGACGGUACUCCGUAGGAAGGGGUAAAAUCCUUUGAUCUAUGGAUGACCACCAGUGGCGAAGGCGGUCUACCAGAACACGUCCGACGGUGAGGGAUGAAAGCUGGGGGAGCAAACCGGAUUAGAUACCCGGGUAGUCCCAGCUGUAAACUAUGCAAACUCAGUGAUGCAUUGGCUUGUGGCCAAUGCAGUGCCGCAGAGAAGUCGUUAAGUUUGCCGCCUGGGAAGUACGUACGCAAGUAUGAAACUUAAAGGAAUUGGCGGGGGAGCACCACAAGGGGUGAAGCCUGCGGUUCAAUUGGAGUCAACGCCAGAAAUCUUACCCGGAGAGACAGCAGAAUGAAGGUCAAGCUGAAGACUUUACCAGACAAGCUGAGAAGUGGUGCAUGGCCGUCGCCAGCUCGUGCCGUGAGAUGUCCUGUUAAGUCAGGUAACGAGCGAGAUCCCUGCCUCUAGUUGCCACCAUUACUCUCAGGAGUAGUGGGGCGAAUUAGCGGGACUGCCGCAGUUAAUGCGGAGGAAGGAGGGGGCCACGGCAGGUCAGUAUGCCCCGAA
rnacentral:rRNA from 1 species